rnacentral:tRNA from 1 species
GCAGAUGUAGUUCAAUGGUAGAAUAUCAGCUUCCCAAGCUGACUACGCGGGUUCGAUUCCCGUCAUCUGCUCCA